CUGACUGAGUGUUGUUACUUUGAAGCCGAUCCAUAAUCCAAGAUGGCCGCCAGCAGGGGACUUAGUUUAACAUGGGACCCUAUGAGAAAUAUAUACAAAUGUCUUCUUUUAGAGAACCACUGAAUGGAAUGAAACCAAACAUGGCAUGAAUGUUCCUUAUGAGGUGCUGACCGAGUGUUGUUACUUUGAAGCCGAUCAAUAAUCCAAGAUGGCCGCCAGCAGGGGACUUAGUUUAACAUGGGACCCUAUGGGAAAUACAUACAAACGUCUUCUUUUAGAGAACCACUGAAUGGAAUGAAACCAAACAUGGCAUGAAUGUUCCUUAUGAGGUGCUGACCAAGUGUUGUUACUUUGAAGUUGAUCCAUCAUCCAAGAUGGCCGCCAGCGGGGGACUUAGUUUAACAUAGGAGCCUAUGGGAAAUACAUACAAAUGUCUUCUUUAAGAGAACCACUGAAUGGAAUGAAACCAAACAUGGCAUGAAUGUUCCUUAUGAGGUGCUGACCAAGUGUUGUUACUUUGAAGCUGAUCCUUCAUCCAUGAUGGCUGCCAGAUGGGGACAAUGUUUAACAAAGGACCCUAUGGACAAUACAUACAAAUGUCUUCUUUUAGAGAACCACAUACUUAAUGGAUUGAAACCAAACAUGGCAUGAAUGUUCUUUAUGAGGUGCUGACUAAGUUUUUUGACUUUGAAGCUGAUCCUUCAUCCAUGAUGGCCGCCAAUGGGGGGGACUUCCUUUAACAUAAGACCCUACGGGAAAUACAUACAAAUGCUUCUUCUAGAGGUGCACUGAAUGGAAUGAAACCAAAACAUGGCAUAAAUGUUUCUUAUGAGGUGCUGAUUAAGUGUUGCUACUUUGUUGCCCAUUUACUGUUCAAGAUGGCCACCAGGUUUUUUUUUAUUAAAUAACAGGACCAAUAUUAAACCAAAUUUGGACUCACUCAUUAUUAGGGUAUCUGUUAUGAUUUUAAUCUAUUUUUACAUGAUUUCCAAAACCAAAGUAGA